rnacentral:tRNA from 1 species
AGUAAGAUAAGCUAAUACUAAGCUAGUGGGCCCAUAACCCAAAAAUGACUAUCCUCUCUUACUA